UACGUAGGGUGCAAGCGUUGUCCGGAAUUAUUGGGCGUAAAGAGCUCGUAGGCGGCUUGUCGCGUCUGCUGUGAAAUCCCGGAGCUCAACUCCGGGCGUGCAGUGGGUACGGGCAGGCUAGAGUGCGGUAGGGGAGAUUGGAAUUCCUGGUGUAGCGGUGGAAUGCGCAGAUAUCAGGAGGAACACCGAUGGCGAAGGCAGAUCUCUGGGCCGCUACUGACGCUGAGGAGCGAAAGCAUGGGGAGCGAACAGG
rnacentral:rRNA from 1 species